UACGGAGGGAGCUAGCGUUGUUCGGAAAUACUGGGCGUAAAGCGCACGUAGGCGGCUUACCAAGUCAGGGGUGAAAUCCCGGGGCUCAACCCCGGAACUGCCCUUGAAACUGGUAGGCUAGAAUUCUGGAGAGGCGAGUGGAAUUCCGAGUGUAGAGGUGAAAUUCGUAGAUAUUCGGAAGAACACCAGUGGCGAAGGCGACUCGCUGGACAGACAUUGACGCUGAGGUGCGAAAGCGUGGGGAGCAAACAGG
rnacentral:misc_RNA from 1 species